rnacentral:rRNA from 1 species
GAUGAACGCUAGCGGCAGGCUUAACACAUGCAAGUCGAGGGGUAUAGUAGCAAUACUAGAGACCGGCGCACGGGUGCGUAACGCGUAUGCAAUCUACCUUUUACAGAGGGAUAGCCCAGAGAAAUUUGGAUUAAUACCUCAUAGUAUAAUUGAAUGGCAUCAUUUAAUUAUUAAAGUCACAACGGUAAAAGAUGAGCAUGCGUCCCAUUAGCUUGUUGGAAGGUAACGGCUUACCAAGGCUACGAUGGGUAGGGGUCC